rnacentral:rRNA from 1 species
UCGAGAAUCUUCCGCAAUGGACGAAAGUCUGACGGAGCGACGUUACGUGAAUGAAGAAGCCCUUCGGGGUGUAAAGUUCUUUUAUGUGGGAAAAAAUUAUUGAUUGUACCACAUGAAUAAGGGGUUGCUAACUCUGUGCCAGCAGCAGCGGUAAUACAGAGACCCCAAGCGUUACCCGGAUUUAUUGGGCGUAAAGGGUUCGUAGGUGGUAUAGUAAGUUUCCUGUUAAAACUCAUCGGCUCAACCUUUGAGGUGCAGGAAAUACUGCUAAACUUGAGGGCGUUAGAGGUUAGCGGAACCGACGGAGUAGGGGUGAAAUCCGUUGAUAUCGUCGGGAACACCAAAAGCGAAGGCAGCUAACUAGGACGACCCUGACACUGAGGAACGAAAGCGUGGGGAGCAAAAAGG